rnacentral:rRNA from 1 species
GAUGAACGCUGGCGGCGUGCUUAACACAUGCCAGUCGAACGGAAAGGCCCAAGCUUGCUUGGGUACUCGAGUGGCGAACGGGUGAGUAACACGUGGGUGAUCUGCCCUGCACUUCGGGAUAAGCCUGGGAAACUGGGUCUAAUACCGGAUAGGACGAUGGUUUGGAUGCCAUUGUGGAAAGUUUUUUCGGUGUGGGAUGAGCUCGCGGCCUAUCAGCUUGUUGGUGGGGUAAUGGCCUACCAAGGCGUCGACGGGUAGCCGGCCUGAGAGGGUGUACGGCCACAUUGGGGCUGAGAUACGGCCCAGACUCCUACGGGGGGCAGCAGUGGGGAAUAUUGCACAAUGGGCGCAAGCCUGAUGCAGCGACGCCGCGUGGGGGAUGACGGCCUUCGGGUUGUAAACUCCUUUCGCUAGGGACGAAGCGUUUUUGUGACGGUACCUGGAGAAGAAGCACCGGCUAACUACGUG